rnacentral:rRNA from 1 species
AAGCACCGGCUAACUACGUGCCAGCAGCCGCGGUAAUACGUAGGGUGCGAGCGUUGUCCGGAAUUACUGGGCGUAAAGAGCUCGUAGGUGGUUUGUCGCGUCGUCUGUGAAAUUCCGGGGCUUAACUCCGGGCGUGCAGGCGAUACGGGCAUAACUUGAGUGCUGUAGGGGAGACUGGAAUUCCUGGUGUAGCGGUGAAAUGCGCAGAUAUCAGGAGGAACACCGAUGGCGAAGGCAGGUCUCUGGGCAGUAACUGACGCUGAGGAGCGAAAGCAUGGGGAGCGAACAGGAUUAGAUACCCUGGUAGUCCAUGCCGUAAACGUUGGGCACUAGGUGUGGGGGACAUUCCACGUUUUCCGCGCCGUAGCUAACGCAUUAAGUGCCCCGCCUGGGGAGUACGGCCGCAAGGCUAAAACUCAAAGGAAUUGACGGGGGCCCGCACAAGCGGCGGAGCAUGCGGAUUAAUUCGAUGCAACGCGAAGAACCUUACCAAGGCUUGACAUAUACUGGACCGCAUCAGAGAUGGUGUUUCCCUUCGGGGCUGGUAUACAGGUGGUGCAUGGUUGUCGUCAGCUCGUGUCGUGAGAUGUUGGGUUAAGUCCCGCAACGAGCGCAACCCUUGUCUUAUGUUGCCAGCACACUAUGGUGGGGACUCAUGAGAGACUGCCGGGGUUAACUCGGAGGAAGGUGGGGAUGACGUCAAAUCAUCAUGCCCCUUAUGUCUUGGGCUUCACGCAUGCUACAAUGGCCGGUACAGAGGGUUGCGAUACUGUGAGGUGGAGCUAAUCCCUAAAAGCCGGUCUCAGUUCGGAUUGGGGUCUGCAACUCGACCCCAUGAAGUCGGAGUCGCUAGUAAUCGCAGAUCAGCAACGCUGCGGUGAAUACGUUCCCGGGCCUUGUACACACCGCCCGUCAAGUCACGAAAGUUGGUAACACCCAAAGCCGGUGGCCUAACCUUUUGGAGGGAGCCGUCUAAGGUGGGAUUGGCGAUUGGGACUAAGUCGUAACAAGGUAGCCGUACCGGAAGGUGCGGCUG